GGCAGCAGCUAUAGCACCCUGCAACUCACAACUCACUGGCAGCCCACUGAAGCUCAGCAGGAGUGAGCCUGGCCAGUACUUGGAUGGGAGACCCCCUGGGAAAGCUUAGGUUGCUGCUGGAA
rnacentral:rRNA from 1 species